rnacentral:rRNA from 1 species
GACGAACGCUGGCGGCGUGCUUAACACAUGCAAGUCGAGCGGAAAGGCUCCUUCGGGGGUACUCGAGCGGCGAACGGGUGAGUAACACGUGAGUAAUCUGCCUCUGGCUUCGGGAUAGCCCUCCGAAAGGGGGAUUAAUACCGGAUAUGACCUGUCACUGCAUGGUGGUGGGUGGAAAGUUUUUUCGGCCAGGGAUGUGCUCGCGGCCUAUCAGCUUGAUGGUGAGGUAAUGGCUCACCAUGGCUUCGACGGGUAGCCGGCCUGAGAGGGUGACCGGUCACACUGGGACUGAGACACGGCCCAG